rnacentral:tRNA from 1 species
GCCUGGUUGGCUCAGUCAGUUGAGUGUCCGACUUCAGCUCAGGUCACGAUCUCGCGGUCCGUGAGUUCGAGUCCCAUGUCGGGCU